CUCUUAUUUGGCUCUUUUCUAUGUUUAGCAAGUCAACACAUAUUCAUAUUUGGCUGGUACUCCUAUUUGGUCUUUCUCCUUGUUUAGCUAUUCUACAUUUGGUUUCUCUUUACUUAGUAUGUAAUCGAGAUAUUCCUUCUUCUUGUAAUUGCUACAAUAGCUAGACCUUGUAAUCUAUAUAUACUCCUAUUAGAGAACAAUGAAAAGUAAGAAUCAGAAAUUAUCCUCAAUAAAGAUAUUACCUUCUUUACUGCUAUAACAAGUAUUGAAGCC
rnacentral:lncRNA from 1 species